rnacentral:rRNA from 1 species
CCUACGGGCAGCUGCAGUGGGGAAUAUUGGACAAUGGGCGAAAGCCUGAUCCAGCCAUGCCGCGUGUGUGAAGAAGGCCUUCGGGUUGUAAAGCACUUUCAGUGGGGAAGAAAGCCUUGGGGCUAAUACCCUCGAGGAAGGACAUCACCCACAGAAGAAGCACCGGCUAACUCCGUGCCAGCAGCCGCGGUAAUACGGAGGGUGCGAGCGUUAAUCGGAAUUACUGGGCGUAAAGCGCGCGUAGGCGGUCUGAUAAGCCGGUUGUGAAAGCCCCGGGCUCAACCUGGGAACGGCAUCCGGAACUGUCAGGCUAGAGUGCAGGAGAGGAAGGUAGAAUUCCCGGUGUAGCGGUGAAAUGCGUAGAGAUCGGGAGGAAUACCAGUGGCGAAGGCGGCCUUCUGGACUGACACUGACGCUGAGGUGCGAAAGCGUGGGUAGCAAACAGGAUUAGAUACCCGAGUAGUC